rnacentral:rRNA from 1 species
UACGUAGGGAGCAAGCGUUGUUCGGAUUUACUGGGCGUAAAGGGCGCGUAGGCGGCAACUCAAGUCACUUGUGAAAUCUCCGGGCUUAACUCGGAACGGUCAAGUGAUACUGCUUUGCUAGAGUGCGGAAGGGGCAAUCGGAAUUCUCGGUGUAGCGGUGAAAUGCGUAGAUAUCGAGAGGAACACCUGAGGUGAAGACGGGUUGCUGGGCCGACACUGACGCUGACAGCGCGAAAGCCAGGGGAGCAAACGGG